CCCUUAGAUGUUCGGGGCCGCACGCGCGCUACACUGAAGGACUCAGCGUGUCUCUCCCCCUAUCCCGAAAGGGAUGGGCAACCCGUUGAACCUCCUUCGUGCCAGGGAUUGGGGUUUGCAAUUAUCCCCCAUGAACGAGGAAUUCCCAGUAAGCGCGAGUCAUCAGCUCGCGUUGAUUACGUCCCUGCCCUUUGUACACACCGCCCGUCGCUACUACCGAUUGGAUGGUUUAGUGAGACCCUCGGAUCGGUCCCGACUCGGGGUGGGCUUCUGCCCCGGUCGUGGUUUCGCCGAGAAGACGGUCAAACUUGACUAUCUAGAGGAAGUAAAAGUCGUAACA
rnacentral:rRNA from 1 species